AAAGGGAUACUCUGCUGAAAUUGCGGUAGAAAAUUGAGAUAAACUAAGGUGAGACUCUGCCCAUUUGAAAAUAGAAAAUUAAAGUUUUCAUAAGGGGAGACUUUGCCCGUGUCAACAGAAAAAUUUAAAAGUUUUAUAAGGGGAAACUCUGGCAGAUUGAGUAGAGUGAUUUGAGUUUGUGUGAGAGGGGACUCUGCCCAAAUCAAGGUUGCAUAGGACUUAAGGUAAGUGGAUAUUGUGAUUGCAUGGCCUAAGUAGUUUUCAAGUGUUUCAUUGGUGUU
rnacentral:lncRNA from 1 species